UUGCAUUUCUAGGAAUCCAUUCCCAGGGAAAUUCUCACCACAUAGCACAUGAACACAGGUGCCAGGAUGCAGCUGCACCUUCCUUUGUGGAGCAAAAACUUGGAAAUAUCCUUAAAAGUGAUUAAGUAAAUCAGAGUAUGAACUGUGCUCUGGAGUGCAAGACCGCGGACUAUGGCUUUCUGGAUUCUCUGGUGACACCUGCUGGCACAAAGGGAUACUGCAGCCCAGCUUGGUUACGUAUUGGGAAUUUCUAGAAGAAGAGAGGUUCGGGGCAAUUGUGUGAGGGUGGUUUGGGAAGGCACAGAGCAGGGAGAGAUUUGGAAGGAAGGUCAAGGCAAGGAGGUGGCCUGGGUGUGGAGGUUGCAAGCAUAGACUUGGGUUCAAAUUCCAGCUUCACUACUUACUAGCUGGGUGAGCCUGGCCGAGAUCCCGCCACUGCACUCCAGCCUGGGUCACAGAGUGAAGCUCCCUCUUGAAAAAAAAAAAAAGGUAAUUAAGUAAAAAUGAGGUCAUUAGGGUGGACCCUAAUCCAAUAUAAUCGUUGUCUUCAUAGGAAGAGGAAAUGUGGACACAGACACAAACAGAGGGAGGGCCAUGUGAGCCCAGAGCAAGAAGGCGGCCAUCUACAAGCCCCGGAGCGAGGCUGCGGGAGAAGCCAGCCCCGCUCACACCUUGACAACAAUCUCUGUUGAUUAAACCACACAGUCUGCAGUCCUCUAUUACGGUGAGCCCUGCCAGCUGAGAUGGGGUUGACGUGGGAAUACAGCUGGGCACACAGGAGGCCCUCAGUGGAGGCUGGUUUCUUUGGCCCAGUGCCACAUGGAGCCCGUCCACUGGCUGAGCUGGGGGCCUGAUUGUGGCCACUCAACGUCUCUGUAAAGCUCAGGGUCUGCCUUGAGAUCCUGCACUUACCACGGAGUGGCCCUGCCUUGGGGACCCAUCUCACCUCACUUCUGCCCUCCUUUCUGGUUCAUGACUCAGCCAUCCACUAACCUCCCGUGGUAGCACUGUGGCCACUCUGUAAACGACAGCACCACUGGUGUCUCAUUGGGGGCCAGUCUGGAAGAGGGAGACCACCCUAGGCAUUUCAGACAGAAGGGAUGGAAUACAGGCAUUGCUUACACAGAGGACGGACGAGCCGAGAUGCAGAAAGGCCAGGUGAAGCAUUGGCCACAGCUGGAGGCGCUCCACCCUAGGCCAGCGGGACAGAAGGAAGC
rnacentral:lncRNA from 10 species